rnacentral:rRNA from 1 species
UGCCUAAUACAUGCAAGUCGAGCGGACAGAUGGGAGCUUGCUCCCUGAUGUUAGCGGCGGACGGGUGAGUAACACGUGGGUAACCUGCCUGUAAGACUGGGAUAACUCCGGGAAACCGGGGCUAAUACCGGAUGGUUGUUUGAACCGCAGGGUUCAAACAUAAAAGGUGGCUUCGGCUACCACUUACAGAUGGACCCGCGGCGCAUUAGCUAGUUGGUGAGGUAACGGCUCACCAAGGCAACGAUGCGUAGCCGACCUGAGAGGGUGAUCGGCCACACUGGGACUGAGACACGGCCCAGACUCCUACGGGAGGCAGCAGUAGGGAAUCUUCCGCAAUGGACGAAAGUCUGACGGAGCAACGCCGCGUGAGUGAUGAAGGUUUUCGGAUCGUAAAGCUCUGUUGUUAGGGAAGAACAAGUACCGUUCGAAUAGGGCGGUACCUUGACGGUACCUAACCAGAAAGCCACGGCUAACUACGUGCCAGCAGCCGCGGUAAUACGUAGGUGGCAAGCGUUGUCCGGAAUUAUUGGGCGUAAAGGGCUCGCAGGCGGUUUCUUAAGUCUGAUGUGAAAGCCCCCGGCUCAACCGGGGAGGGUCAUUGGAAACUGGGGAACUUGAGUGCAGAAGAGGAGAGUGGAAUUCCACGUGUAGCGGUGAAAUGCGUAGAGAUGUGGAGGAACACCAGUGGCGAAGGCGACUCUCUGGUCUGUAACUGACGCUGAGGAGCGAAAGCGUGGGGAGCGAACAGGAUUAGAUACCCUGGUAGUCCACGCCGUAAACGAUGAGUGCUAAGUGUUAGGGGGUUUCCGCCCCUUAGUGCUGCAGCUAACGCAUUAAGCACUCCGCCUGGGG